rnacentral:antisense_RNA from 1 species
GGGAGGGAAGGCAUUCUCUGUCAAGCUGCUGUCACCUUACCUGAAGUAAGGAGUCCACGCCUGCAUGUCCGAGGAAAACAGUUUUCUCAAACACAUUAGUUGAAAAACUGAAGACACUGCCUAAAAUACAAGCUGAGUUAGAGACAGCCCUUGUAAGACUAGAUGGAAUCUCACUCUGUAGCCUAGGCUGGAGUGCAGCGGCACAAUCUGAUCGCUACAACCUCUGCCUCCCAGGUUCAAGCAAUCCUUGUGUCUCAGCCUUCCAAGUAGCUGGGAUUACAGGCAUGCACCACCACACUCAGCUAAUUUUUGUGUUUUUAGUAGAGGUAGGGUUUUGCCAUGUUGCCCAGGAUGGUCUCAAACUCCUUGACUCAGGUGACCCACCCUCAGCCUCCCAAAGUGCUGGGAGCCACCGCGUGAGCCACAGUGCCCAGUUGACAAUUUUUGCAUUAAUCCACAGAACACAUAAAAGCACUGUGGAAGUGGCAACAGGGAAGGUGAGAAGAGGAUUAUCAAAGACAUUGUGAUGAUAGAAUGGACAGGACUUGGUGAACAGAGUUGAUGCAGGCAGAAUCAUGAUAUUGUGUGAUUAAAGCCAUCUUGUGUCAUUUAAGGUGAAUAUCAUCAAGCUACUGAUAACUGUAAAUUCUAAUAAGAUGUAUAACUCAUUUCUAAAGGACAAAUGGUGUUUAUUCAGUCAUUUGCUUAACAAAUAUUUAUUGAAUGUCUACUCUGUGUAGGAGCUGGGAAUGUAGGAAUGAAUAAAACGGGAAAUAAUGCCUGUCCUUAUGAAGUUUACAUUCUAGUGGGAGAGGUAGACAAAUAAGUAUAAUAUGUGGUAUAUUCACAUUAAGUGUUAAAGAGGAAGAAUAAAGCAGGGAAAGGAAAUGAAGUGCUGCAGAGGGAGGAGGUUUGGAGUUUAAGACAUGGAGAACAGGGAAAGGUGUCACUGAGGGUGUCAAUGAUGUUUCAGUAGAGACUGGACAGAGCUGUGCAGAUACCUCAGGAAAACCAAAUUUUAUCUAUUAUUUUACUGGAGUGCUGUAGUCUGAAUGUUUGUGUCCUAUCAAAAUUCAUAUGUUCAAAUCAUGACCCCCAAUGUGAUGAUAUUAAGAGGCAGGACCUUUGGGAGGUGAUUAGGCAGAGACCUCAUGAAUGAGAUUAGUGCCUUUAUAAAAGAGGCCUGGGGGAGCUCAUUCACCUCAUGUGAUGGCAGAGCAAGAAGGCACCAUCUACAAACCAAGUCCUCACCAGACAGCAAAUCUGCCGGCACCUUGAUCUUGGACUUUCUAGUCUCCAAAAGUAUGAGAAAUUUCAGUUUUUUAUAAACAAUCUGGUUUAUGGUUUGUUUUUUUGUUUUGUUUUGUUUUUGACAGAGUCUCGCUCUGUCAUCUAGGCCAGAAUGCAGUGGCGCGAUCUCGGCUCACUGCAACCUCCACCUCCCAGGUUCAAGCAAUUCUCCUGCCUCAGCCUCCCAAGUAGCUGGGAUUACAGGUGCCUGCCAUGAUGCCCAGCUAAUUUUCUCGUCUUUUUAGUAAAGACGGGGUUUCACCAUGUUGGCCAGGCUGAUUUCGAACUCCUGACCUCAAGUGAUCCACCCGCCUUGGCCUCCCAAAGUGCUAGGAUUACUGGCGUGAGCCACCGCGCCUGGCCAGUUUUAUGGUAUUUUGUAAUUGCAGCCCAAACUGACUAAAAUGUGAAGUUUAGGUAAACAUUUGCAGUUUGCUAUGCUGAUAUUAAAGUAUUAUCUGUUGGUAAAUAUUCUUUGCUGAUACUUAAUAAGUAUUCUUAUUAAUAACAAGUAUUAAUAAUAUGUAUUCCUCACUAAUGCUUAAUACAAAUCCUUACUAAUAACAGUAUUAGUAUUAAUUAGUAUUAAUCAGUAUUCUUUGCCAAUAAGGGUUCUCACUGACAGAAAAUCAAUUAUUCAUUAAAUAUUAUUGAGCUACUUCUUGAUUUUAUAGUAGACAGGUGCUGUUUUAGAUUCUGGGGAUUCAGUCGUGACUGAGAUAGAUGUAAUCCCUACCCUCAAAGGGUUGCCAGAGAAAACACAGGACUCAAUUGAAUUGGAAUUUCAGAUAAAAAACACAUAAUUUUUAGUAUAAAUAUGUUUAUGUGAUACUUAUACUAAAUAUACCAUGUGAUAUUUGGAAUAUACUUAUACUAAAAUGUAUACUAAAUGUGUUGAUAACCUGAAAUCGAAAUUUAACUGGGCUUCCUGUGUUUUUAUUUGCUGAGUCUGGCAAUUCUAUGCCCUCACUACGCUUACAACCUAACAUGCUGGAAGCAGAGAUUUGUAAAUACAAAUAGCAUACAGUGAACAAUGCUGUAUAACCUGGGAAGCCAUAAAUUAGAAGGCACUGGGACCCUAACUGUAUGGAGAAAAACUGUCAGCCAACCAGGAACAUCCACCCUUAAAGCAAGAAAUAAACUUCUGUCGUAUUUGAGCCAUUACGUUUUGGAACCAUUUGUGCCAUGGUCUAUUUGUUAUGCCAGCGUAACCUAACUAACAAUGUGUCCUGAAAUCUACUAUCAUUUCCAAAUUUACUACAGAAUCAAAAGUUUUCAUACAAUGUACCAACAACUAAUAAAAUAUGUGUAAAUAAAGGCAACAGGAAGAUGGGCCAAACCCUAAAAAUGCUUAUGCUGUAGUCAUCAUUCUAUUAACAAUAUAGCUUUAAACCUAAGUAUUUUCAAAAUGGUCAUGAGGGACAUCAGAUCAUUUUAGGAAAAUUACAUAACUUGAUGGCUUCCCUAAGCAACUAAUACUACACAUUUAUACAUUAUUCCUGGCGAUUAAAACAUUUUCUUUCAGAUAAUUAUUGAAUGUAGAGACAGGUUUUGUAGGCUCUAAAUUUUUAAUUAAGACAUGGUUUUUGCCUUCAGAAAGUAUAUGGCCUAAUAGAGGAAAUAAAGAUACAAAAUACUAGCAGAAUAUCAUCAGUGCCCAAAGAUAUGUGCAAAUUGUAUCUCUAAUUGGAGUGAGAAAUUCAUUCAGAUUAGAGGGGAUUAAAAAGAAGCUGAAUGAGGAAGCAUUUUUUUCCCUCAAAGCGUUACAAUUUUCUGUCUUUUUUGAAUUUAAAAGUAGAGCUUAUUGUCAAGAAUUUGCAAAAUACAAAUAUAAGAGAGAAAAACAAAUAUCACUUCUAAUCUCACUACCCAGAGAUAGCCACUAAUAACAUUUUUGUAUGUAUUCCCUCCUUUAUGUUUUAAAUAAAAUUGGGGUCUUAUUAUA